rnacentral:rRNA from 1 species
AACGCUUCUUUCCUCCCGAGUGCUUGCACUCAACUGGAAAGAGGAGUGGCGGACGGGUGAGUAACACGUGGGUAACCUACCCAUCAGAGGGGGAUAACACUUGGAAACAGGUGCUAAUACCGCAUAACAGUUUAUGCCGCAUGGCAUAAGAGUGAAAGGCGCUUUCGGGUGUCGCUGAUGGAUGGACCCGCGGUGCAUUAGCCAGUUGGUGAGGUAACGGCUCACCAAGGCCACGAUGCAUAGCCGACCUGAGAGGGUGAUCGGCCACACUGGGACUGAGACACGGCCCAGACUCCUACGGGAGGCAGCAGUAGGGAAUCUUCGGCAAUGGACGAAAGUCUGACCGAGCAACGCCGCGUGAGUGAAGAAGGUUUUCGGAUCGUAAAACUCUGUUGUUAGAGAAGAACAAGGACGUUAGUAACUGAACGUCCCCUGACGGUAUCUAACCAGAAAGCCACGGCUAACUACGUGCCAGCAGCCGCGGUAAUACGUAGGUGGCAAGCGUUGUCCGGAUUUAUUGGGCGUAAAGCGAGCGCAGGCGGUUUCUUAAGUCUGAUGUGAAAGCCCCCGGCUCAACCGGGGAGGGUCAUUGGAAACUGGGAGACUUGAGUGCAGAAGAGGAGAGUGGAAUUCCAUGUGUAGCGGUGAAAUACGUAGAUAUAUGGAGGAACACCAGUGGCGAAGGCGGCUCUCUGGUCUGUAACUGACGCUGAGGCU